rnacentral:rRNA from 1 species
GAUGAACGCUGGCGGCGUGCCUAAUACAUGCAAGUCGAGCGAGAAGCUUGGAAAUGACGCUUCGGUUGAUUUUCCAAGUGGACAGCGGCGGACGGGUGAGUAACGCGUAGGCAACCUACCCCUGACAGAGGGAUAGCCAUUGGAAACGAUGAUUAAAACCUCAUGACACCGUAGUAGCACAUGCUACAUCGGUCAAAGAUUUAUCGGUCAGGGAUGGGCCUGCGUCUGAUUAACUGGUUGGUGAGGUAACGGCUCACCAAGGUGACGAUCAGUAGCCGACCUGAGAGGGUGAUCGGCCACAUUGGAACUGAGACACGGUCCAAACUUCUACGGAAGGCAGCAGUAGGGAAUCUUGCAUAAUGGGCGAAAGCCUGAUGCAGCAACGCCGCGUGAAGGAUGAAGGCCUUCGGGUUGUAAACUUCUGUUCUAAGGGAAGAAAGAAAUGACGGUACCUUAGGAGCAAGCCCCGGCUAACUACGUGCCAGCAGCCGCGGUAAUACGUAGGGGGCAAGCGUUAUCCGGAAUUAUUGGGCGUAAAGAGUGCGUAGGUGGUUACCUAAGCGCAAGGUUUAAAUUAGAGGCUCAACCUCUACAUGCCUUGCGAACUGGGCUACUUGAGUGCAGGAGGGGAAAGCGGAAUUCCUAGUGUAGCGGUGAAAUGCGUAGAUAUUAGGAGGAACACCGGCGGCGAAGGCGGCUUUCUGGACUGUAACUGACACUGAGGCACGAAAGCGUGGGUAGCAAACAGG